UCAGGCCCUGCAAGGCCACAAUCAGGUCACCCCAAAGCUUCUCUUCUCCAGGCUGAAUGAUCCCAGCUCUCCCAGCCUUUAGAACCAUAAUUAGCUUGUGCACUCCCCAGUCACCCUCAGAGCUGUGGGAUGAGCACAAACCCCAGGACAAAGCCCUGAGCUCGGCACUGCAGCCCCAGUGGAAGCGCAACACUAUUUCUGCUGCAAGAACUGUGGAGUUAAAGAAGUGAAGAGACCAAACCAACAUUAAGCAAAAUGGAAAAUUACCACAAUUUUGCUUGGUAAAUAGCUCAUAAACUUUUGUUUGUUUCCACUGAUCACCAUGUUUUAGGCACUCAAAUUUGGUGGGGAG